GUGGGGAAUUUUGGACAAUGGGCGCAAGCCUGAUCCAACAAUGCCGCGUGCAGGAAGAAGGCCUUCGGGUUGUAAACUGCUUUUGUACGGAACGAAACGGCUCUGGUUAAUACCCGGGGCUAAUGACGGUACCGUAAGAAUAAGCACCGGCUAACUACGUGCCAGCAGCCGCGGUAAUACGUAGGGUGCAAGCGUUAAUCGGAAUUACUGGGCGUAAAGCGUGCGCAGGCGGUUUUGUAAGACAGGCGUGAAAUCCCCGGGCUCAACCUGGGAAUGGCGCUUGUGACUGCAAAGCUGGAGUGCGGCAGAGGGGGAUGGAAUUCCGCGUGUAGCAGUGAAAUGCGUAGAUAUGCGGAGGAACACCGAUGGCGAAGGCAAUCCCCUGGGCCUGCACUGACGCUCAUGCACGAAAGCGUGGGGAGCAAACAGGAUUAGAAACCCGAGUAGUCC
rnacentral:rRNA from 1 species